CUCCUGAGAAACACCUUCCCCAAUCCCACCCUCUAUUUCUACCCUGCUCCCAUCCCUCAUUAAAACCCUAUCCCCUUCCCACCCCUCCCUACCCCACCCGCCCCUCCCUCCACUCCACCCCCCAUCUCCACCUCCUCCCCGUCACCCCAGCGCCCCUUGAAAGGACCAAGACAUGAAGGUGCAGAGGCUGUUGUUCUGGCUGCUCUUGCUCUGGUGUCCCAGUUCCCCAAACCCAAAUGAAGCUGGAAAAUACACACUGUGAACUGAAGGCACAGAAGAGUCAACUGGCAGCUGCUGAGGAAAAUUUGAAACUGGUUACCGAAGAGAUAGACAAGUAUAAACAAGAAAUUGGAGAAAUGCAAGAUCAGCUACAGAAGGCAGAGCUCAACUUCAAACUCAAGGUCGCAGCUCAUGAGAGAAGUGCUCUAGAUAAUUGGGUUAAGGCUCGGUUUUGGGAGAGGAAGAUAGUGCAGCAGAGCAGGGAGAACACCUACAUGAAACACAGACUGCACAUGAUGAGGAGAGACACGCCUCCUGAGGGAUCCAUGAGGCAGGAACCGAUGCCGGGAAGAUCCGAGAUAUGGAACCGUGUGCAGAGAGAAUCUAGACCGGUUCCCAGGAUGAACAGCAGCACCAGCCCGAAAAAGGACCCGGAGAUGGCUACGGACAGUACAUUUGUAAUUUGAAGACCUCCCUGAGCAAUUACAACCAGGCUGUGUGUAUAUAUUUAGAAAAUUGUCAGAUCAGCCUAAUGUCCUGAAUGCUGUCCCUCCCCAUCCUGUCCCCUGUGCUCUGUCUCUCCUGGUAUCCCCCAAAUAAACC
rnacentral:lncRNA from 1 species